rnacentral:rRNA from 1 species
GUAGGUGGCAAGCGUUGUCCGGAAUUAUUGGGCGUAAAGCGCGCGCAGGCGGUUCUUUAAGUCUGAUGUGAAAGCCCACGGCUCAACCGUGGAGGGUCAUUGGAAACUGGAGAACUUGAGUACAGAAGAGGAAAGCGGAAUUCCACGUGUAGCGGUGAAAUGCGUAGAGAUGUGGAGGAACACCAGUGGCGAAGGCGGCUUUCUGGUCUGUAACUGACGCUGAGGCGCGAAAGCGUGGGGAGCAAACAGGAUUAGAUACCCUGUAGUCCACGCCGUAAACGAUGAGUGCUAAGUGUUAGGGGGGUUUUCCGCCCCCCUUAGUGCUGCAGCUAACGCAUUAAGCACUCCGCCUGGGAGUACGGCCGCAAGGCUG